rnacentral:rRNA from 1 species
GACGAACGCUGGCGGCGUGCUUAACACAUGCAAGUCGAACGGAAAGGCCCUGCUUUUGUGGGGUGCUCGAGUGGCGAACGGGUGAGUAACACGUGAGUAACCUGCCCUUGACUUUGGGAUAACUUCAGGAAACUGGGGCUAAUACCGGAUAGGAGCUCCUGCUGCAUGGUGGGGGUUGGAAAGUUUCGGCGGUUGGGGAUGGACUCGCGGCUUAUCAGCUUGUUGGUGGGGUAGUGGCUUACCACGGCUUUGACGGGUAGCCGGCCUGAGAGGGUGACCGGCCACAUUGGGACUGAGAUACGGCCCAGAAUCGUACGGGAGGCAACAGUGGGGAAUAUUGCACAAUGGGCGGAAGCCUGAUGCAGAAACGCCGCGUGCGGGAUGACGGCCUUCGGGUUGUAAACCGCUUUCGCCUGUGACGAAGCGUGAGUGACGGUAAUGGGUAAAGAAGCACCGGCUAACUACGUG